GACGAACGCUGGCGGCGUGCUUAACACAUGCAAGUCGAACGGAAAGACCCUGCUUUUGUGGGGUGCUCGAGUGGCGAACGGGUGAGUAACACGUGAGUAACCUGCCCUUGACUUUGGGAUAACUUCAGGAAACUGGGGCUAAUACCGGAGAGGAGCUCCUGCUGCAUGGUGGGGGUUGGAAAGUUUCGGCGGUUGGGGAUGGAUUCGCGGCUUAUCAGCUUGUUGGUGGGGUAGUGGCUUACCAAGGCUUUGACGGGUAGCCGGCAUGAGAGGGUGACCGGCCACAUGGGGACUGAGAUACGGCCCAGACUCCUACGGGAGGCAGAAGUGGGGAAUAUUGCACAAUGGGCGGAAGCAUGAUGCAGCAACGCCGCGUGCGGGAUGACGGCCUUCGGGUUGUAAACCGCUUUCGCCUGUGACGAAGCGUGAGUGACGGUAAUGGGUAAAGAAGCACCGGCUAACUACGUG
rnacentral:rRNA from 1 species